rnacentral:rRNA from 1 species
UACGAAGGGUGCAAGCGUUACUCGGAAUUACUGGGCGUAAAGCGUGCGUAGGUGGUGAGUUAAGUCUGUCGUGAAAGCCCCGGGCUCAACCUGGGAAUUGCAUUCGAGACUGAAUAGCUAGGGUGCGGUAGAGGGAAGCGGAAUUUCCGGUGUAGCGGUGAAAUGCGUAGAUAUCGGAAGGAACAUCAGUGGCGAAAGCGGCUUCCUGGACCAGCACCGACGUUCAGGCACGAAA